rnacentral:misc_RNA from 1 species
GCAGAUUUGGAGGAAAGCAACAAGAUGUUAUCCUUGAGGGUAUUGUGUGAUAUUGAUAAGUGUUUUGUGUUUAUAUUUAACACCAAAGAAUGACUUUUAGAUAGUGUCUAUUUACACUUCUAGAUAGUGCCCAUCAUGCUGAUACUUUAGUUGUCUCGCUGCUUCAGAUUCAUGCAAAAGAUGUUGAGAAUGAGUCACUGCAGGAACGCUUAAAUGAUCUGGUAAAAAAUUGGCCCAUUUCCUUUUCCUUUUUCUUUUCCUUCCCCUCCCCCUUACAUUACCUGUUUAGCAAAGGAAUUUUUGAACUACCUAUUUUUCUUUUUUUUUGUGUUUUUCA